ACGCGAAAGGGGCUUCGGCCCUGAGUAGAGUGGCGAACGGGUGAGUAACACGUGGGUGACCUGCCUUCGAGUGGGGGAUAACAUCCCGAAAGGGGUGCUAAUACCGCAUGACAUCCUGCCCUUGAACAGGUGGAGAUUAAAGCUGGGGAUCGCAAGACCUGGCGCUUGAAGAGGGGCCCGCGUCCGAUUAGCUGGUUGGUGGGGUAAUGGCCUACCAAGGCGACGAUCGGUAGCCGGCCUGAGAGGGCGGACGGCCACACUGGGACUGAGACACGGCCCAGACUCCUACGGGAGGCAGCAGUGGGGAAUUGUUCGCAAUGGGCGCAAGCCUGACGACGCAACGCCGCGUGGAGGAUGAAGAUUUUCGGAUCGUAAACUCCUUUCGAUCGGGACGAAUGGCUAGUGGUUGAAUACGCCACUGGAUUGACGGUACCGAGAGAAGAAGCCCCGGCUAACUCCGUGCCAGCAGCCGCGGUAAUACGGGGGGGGCAAGCGUUG
rnacentral:rRNA from 1 species